GCUUUAUAAGUUUGGAGAUUUUAUAUAUUUUUCUAUAGCAAUAAUUUCUUGAAAGCUUAUUUGGUUGGGGCGACAAUAGUAUAAUUGAAAUAACUGCUUUAAAAUAAUACAAAUAUAUUUGAAUUAUAAUUAGUUGAUCCUUUAUAAAGAUUUAAGAUCAAGUU
rnacentral:rRNA from 1 species